UACGGGGGGAGCAAGCGUUGUUCGGAUUUACUGGGCGUAAAGGGCGCGUAGGCGGUCAGCACAAGUCAGUUGUGAAAUCUCCGGGCUUAACCCGGAAAGGUCAACUGAUACUGUGCGACUAGAGUGCGGAAGGAGCAACUGGAAUUCUCGGUGUAGCGGUGAAAUGCGCAGAUAUCAGGAGGAACACCAAUGGCGAAGGCAGCUCGCUGGAACGGUACUGACGCUGAGGCGCGAAAGCGUGGGGAGCGAACAGG
rnacentral:rRNA from 1 species